rnacentral:ncRNA from 1 species
UUAAAGUUUGAUUCUUUCUUGGAUUUUUAUAUGUUUACUAAAAUUGCAUGAGAAUUGAAGUAAGUAGUUAAAUUAGUUUUUAAAAAAUUAAUUAUUAAAUUAAUAAAAGCAUGUUUUAUAAAAUGUAAAUGCUCAGCAUAAAAUAUUAAUCAUAUUUAGGAAAGUAAGAUUUAGUAAGUAAAAAGAGAUCUGGUGAAAUAUUGUGCCAGCAGCCGCGGUUAAACAUUAAGGUCAAGUAAAAAUGUUAUAUUAUUUAGUUAAUUAUUAAGUUUAAUUAUAAGUUGCUUAUAAAAAACAAAGGUAAAAUAAUAAAUUUUAAUAAGUUAAUAAUUAAAUUAUGUUGAAGCUAAAAAAAUUUAGAUUUAAACUAGGAUUAGAUACCCUAUUAUACUAAAAAUAAAUUUUAAAGAUUGAUUAUUAAUAGAUAAGUUCUUAAAAUUUGAAGAAUUUGGCGGUAAUUCAGUCUUGUUAGAGGAACCUGUUUUAUUAAAUCGAUAAGCCGCGUAAUAUCUUGCUUUUUUUUGUUGGAUCAGCUUAUAUACCGUCAUUAGAAGAUAAUUUUAUAAAAAUUAAUUAUUAGGAUUUAUAAAGUAUAAAUAAAAUUAGAUCAAGGUGUAGCUAAUAAAAAAGCUAAAAUGGGUUACAAUAAAAUUUAUUUAUGACGUAUUUAUAAAGCAAGAGUUAUAAUAAAGGAGGAUUUAAUUGUAAUUAGAAAUUAAUAUAUUAUAAUGAUAAAAGCACUGGAUUAUGUACAUAUUGCCCGUCGCUUUCAUUUAAAGAUGAGAUAAGUCGUAACAUAGUAGAUUUAUUGGAAAAUGAAUCUAGAUUAA